GACGAACGCUGGCGGCGUGCUUAACACAUGCAAGUCGAGCGGUAAGGCCCUUUCGGGGGUACGACGAGCGGCGAACGGGUGAGUAACACGUGGGUGACCUGCCCUCAGCUCUGGGAUAAGCCUGGGAAACCGGGUCUAAUACCGGAUAUGACUCCAUGACGCAUGUUGUGGGGUGAAAGCCUUGUGCGGCUGAGGAUGGGCCCGCGGCCUAUCAGCUUGUUGGUGGGGUGAUGGCCUACCAAGGCGACGACGGGUAGCCGGCCUGAGAGGGCGACCGGCCACACUGGGACUGAGACACGGCCCAGACUCCUACGGGAGGCAGCAGUGGGGAAUCUUGCGCAAUGGGCAAAGCCUGACGCAGCGACGCCGCGUGAGGGAUGACGGCCUGGU
rnacentral:rRNA from 1 species